UACAGAGGUCCCAAACGUUGUUCGGAUUCACUGGGCGUAAAGGGUGCGUAGGUGGCCAGGUAAAUUCGGUGUGAAAGCUCGGAGCUUAACUCCGAAAUGGCAUUGAAUACUAUCUGGCUAGAGGGUCGGAGGGGAGACUGGAAUUCUCGGUGUAGCAGUGAAAUGCGUAGAUAUCGAGAGGAACACCAGUGGCGAAGGCGAGUCUCUGGACGACUCCUGACACUGAGGCACGAAAGCCAGGGGAGCAAACAGG
rnacentral:rRNA from 1 species